ACAGCAACACAAAAAUACAUGCACAUUAAGGUUUUGUAUUGUUGCAACCGCCUUCUCUUGAUUUUCCGUGCUUCUUUGGGUUAAAGCUGCCUUCACUUGAGGUGAUUUUUUGACAGGCGAUAAUCGCAUGUAAAAGUUGACUUGCUCUCUAUUUUGUGGCAAGCGAUUUUUGAAUCACUAUUUACACGAGUGAUUUUUCCAGAGCAAUGUUGAAUCGUCUGGAAAAUCGCCUCAUGUUAAGGCAGCUUAAGUAAGCAAAUACCGUUAAAACACCCAUUGGAGAUAGAUACAUUUCUAAUGGAUUUAGUUUGAAAAAAUAAAAACCACUAAUCUAUUGAUUUUUCUUCAUUAUAUUAUGGCGCGCCAAAACACAUGUAAAUGCAUUACCUGUGGUAUUAGACAAAAAAUUGUUCUGGGCUGCUUGGCAACACUUAUACAAACUAAAUAAGUCCUAAACUAUAUUACAAAAACGAUAGGAUAAAUUACCGAUAUUCAACAUUUAUAAGUUUAUGUUGAGUGAAACCCCUUUUAUAGCGUAUAGCAAAAGAGUAAAGCAAGCCAAGAAUUCCAACUUUAUGAUAUACGUAAAAAAUACAAAUAAAACAA